GAUGAACGCUGGCGGCGUGCUUAACACAUGCAAGUCGAACGGUGAGGGCGGAGCUUGCUCUGCUGGAUCAGUGGCGAACGGGUGAGUAACACGUGAGCAAUCUGCCCCUGACUCUGGGAUAAGCGCUGGAAACGGCGUCUAAUACUGGAUACGAGCUGCGAAGGCAUCUUCAGCAGCUGGAAAGAAUUUCGGUCAGGGAUGAGCUCGCGGCCUAUCAGCUUGUUGGUGAGGUAAUGGCUCACCAAGGCGUCGACGGGUAGCCGGCCUGAGAGGGUGACCGGCCACACUGGGACUGAGACACGGCCCAGACUCCUACGGGAGGCAGCAGUGGGGAAUACUGCACAAUGGGCGAAAGCCUGAUGCAGCAACGCCGCGUGAGGGACGACGGCCUUCGGGUUGUAAACCUCUUUUAGCAGGGAAGAAGCGAAAGUGACGGUACCUGCAGAAAAAGCGCCGGCUAACUACGUG
rnacentral:rRNA from 1 species